ensembl:snRNA U6 U6 spliceosomal RNA
GUGCUUGCUUCGACAGCACUUACACUAAAAUUGGAAUGAUACAUAGAAGAUUAGCAUGGCCCCUGCACAAGGAUGAAACACAAAUUUGUGAAGUGUUCCAUAUUUUU